rnacentral:rRNA from 1 species
AGAGUUUGAUCCUGGCUCAGGAUGAACGCUGGCGGCGUGCAUAAUACAUGCAAGUCGAACGAGGGCUUCUUGUAGCAAUACGAGAAGUUCCUAGUGGCGAAUGGGUGAGUAACACGUGGGUGACCUGCCUCGAAGAGUGGGAUAACAGUUCGAAAGGACUGCUAAUACCACGUACGCUCAUCGGGAUUAGACGCCCGAUGAUGAAAGUCGCAAGACGCUUCGAGAGGGGCCUGCGGCCCAUCAGGUAGUUGGUGGGGUAACGGCCUACCAAGCCGAUGACGGGUAGGAGACCUUAGAGGGUGGUCUCCCACACUGGCACUGAAACACGGGCCAGACACCUACGGGUGGCAGCAGUAGGGAAUAUUGCACAAUGGGCGAAAGCCUGAUGCAGCAACGCCGCGUGCGCGAUGAAGGCCUUCGGGUCGUAAAGCGCUUUUCGGGAGGAUGAGGAAGGACAGUACUCCCGGAAUAAGUCACGGCUAACUACGUGCCAGCAGCCGCGGUAAAACGUAGGUGGCGAGCGUUAUCCGGAUUUACUGGGCGUAAAACGCGUGCAGGCGGUCUGGUAAGUCGGGCGUGAAAUCUCUCGGCUCAACCGAGAGAGGUCGUCCGAUACUACCGGACUUGAGGGCAGUAGAGGAAGGUGGAAUUUCCGGUGUAGUGGUGAAAUGCGUAGAUAUCGGGAGGAACACCAGUGGCGAAGGCGGCCUUCUGGGCUGCCCCUGACGCUCAGACGCGAAAGCUAGGGGAGCGAACGGGAUUAGAAACCCCGGUAGUCCUAGCUAUAAACUAUGCAGACU